AUUGAACGCUGGCGGAAUGCUUUACACAUGCAAGUCGAACGGCAGCACGGACUUCGGUCUGGUGGCGAGUGGUGAACGGGUGAGUAAUGCAUCGGAACGUGCCCAAUCGUGGGGGAUAACGUAGCGAAAGUUACGCUAAUACCGCAUACGAUCUAAGGAUGAAAGCGGGGGAUCGCAAGACCUCGCGCGAAUGGAGCGGCCGAUGUUAGAUUAGGUAGUUGGUGGGGUAAAGGCUCACCAAGCCGACGAUCUAUAGCUGGUCUGAGAGGAUGAUCAGCCACACUGGGACUGGGACACGGCCCAGACUCCUACGGGAGGCAGCAGUGGGGAAUUUUGGACAAUGGGCGCAAGCCUGAUCCAGCCAUUCCGCGUGCAGGAUGAAGGCCCUCGGGUUGUAAACUGCUUUUGUACAGAACGAAAAGCUCUGGGUUAAUACCCUGGGGUCAUGACGGUACUGUAAGAAUAAGCACCGGCUAACUACGUGCCAGCAGCCGCAGUAA
rnacentral:rRNA from 1 species